GUAAGCGCAAGUCAUCAGCUUGCGUUGAUUACGUCCCUGCCCUUUGUACACACCGCCCGUCGCUACUACCGAUUGAAUGGCUCAGUGAGGCGUCCGGACUGGCCCAGAGUGGUGGGCAACUACCGCUCAGGGCCGGAAAGCUCUCCAAACUCGGUCAUUUAGAGGAAGUAAAAGUCGUAACAAGGUCUCCGUUGGUGAACCAGCGGAGGGAUCAUUA
rnacentral:rRNA from 1 species